AGUCGAGCCAAAUGGCAACCUUAUAUGUGCUACCGCACUUAUUUGGUGACGAACCAUUUUAGCCAAACUCAGAUCCUGGCAAAAUUGAAUAUUGCCCUAUAAAAAUACUACAAAAUUCCCAAGUAGGAUUGUAGCAAGCUACGGUCACACAUGAUCUGCUUAUUUCCGUUCUCUUUUCGUGAAGGCGUCAUCGAGUGAAGUUUAACUUUGUGCAAAAUUCAUGAAUAAAAAUCCAAGAGCAUCGUGUGAUUUUGAUAAGAGUUACAAAUACUGCCAAAAGAUAGUUUACUUCAACUGCGCCGCUGCCGGUCCCACAUUUGGAGGCAGAAGUCUUAGUGGCUGCGUCGCCAAGGCGAAAGAUUUUCAACUGCUUGCAUCAGGGGCACCCACCGCGGGCAGCGCAAAGCUGGGCUUGUGCUCUUCUGCCGACAGAUCGCUGGUCAACACCCCCCCAGAGUUGGCGUUCUUUUUUCUACUCUUCAUCGCCGCAAGCAGGAAGCAGAUCGCCGUGCAUCCAUUUUAUGCACAAGUGUCAAAUUAAGCCUGGUGUCUUCUUCUUCAUCCGUGCGCAUUCUGAAUAUUUGUGCACAACACGCGCCCCUGGCUGCUGGCCUUGUCGCUGCGUAUGCUGCGAACCUGAAGCAGCCGCAACACGAUUGAUCGUGUCCAGUCUUAAGUACCUUUAGAAUAGUUUUUCAUAUUUCUUUUAAUUUUACCUAAAAUAUUUACUUAUAAAUUUCUAUGAUUCUAAUUUAGCUGAACUUGUGGGAGAUCUGACAAAUAUAUAUAUGUGACUUUCCCGAUUUAUAUUAAUAUCUACAGCAAAUCAUCAACAGUCAUCAGGCCUGCUGACAUCGAUGGAAAGUGCCUGAACUUGUGGGAGAUCUGACAAAUAUAUAUAUGUGACUUUCCCGAUUUAUAUUAAUAUCUACAGCAAAUCAUCAACAGUCAUCAGGCCUGCUGACAUCGAUGGAAAGUGCGUGAGUACUGAACAAAAACAAUAAACAUAUAUAUGUAAAAAGUCAGACAUUCCUAAAUAGUAUGCUUUAAAAUACCUUGCCUUAAUUAAUAGUAUAUAUAGAUCUCUUAAU